rnacentral:rRNA from 1 species
GAGUUUGAUCAUGGCUCAGGAUGAACGCUAGCGGGAGGCUUAACACACGCAAGUCGAGGGGUAUAAGUAGCAAUAUUUAGAGACCGGCGCACGGGUGAGUAACGCGUAUGCAACCUGCCCUUUACUGGGGGAUAGCCCGUAGAAAUGCGGAUUGAUACCCCAUAGUUCUGAGAAGCCGCAUGGUUUUUCAGAUAAAGUUUCGGUGGUAAAGGAUGGGCAUGCGUGACAUUAGCUAGUUGGUAGGGUAACGGCCUACCAAGGCUGCGAUGUCUAGGGGUUCUGAGAGGAAGAUCCCCCACACUGGUACUGAGACACGGACCAGACUCCUACGGGAGGCAGCAGUGAGGAAUAUUGGUCAAUGGGCGAGAGCCUGAACCAGCCAUCCCGCGUGCAGGAAGAAUGCCCUAUGGGUUGUAAACUGCUUUUUCGCAUGAAGAACACCUUUGGCGUGUCAGAGGCUAACGGUAAUGCGUGAAUAAGCACCGGCUAACUCCGUGCCAGCAGCCGCGGUAAUACGGAGGGUGCAAGCGUUAUCCGGAUUUAUUGGGUUUAAAGGGUGCGUAGGCGGCUAUUUAAGUCAGUGGUGAAAUCCUGCAGCUCAACUGUAGAACAGCCAUUGAAACUGAAAAGCUUGAGUAAUCUUGAGG